UUGAGCUUGAUCCUGGCUCAGAUUGAACGCUGGCGGCAGGCCUAACACAUGCAAGUCGAGCGGAAACGAUGGAAGCUUGCUUCCCGGCGUCGAGCGGCGGACGGGUGAGUAAUGCAUAGGAAUCUGCCCGAUAGUGGGGGAUAACGUGGGGAAACCCACGCUAAUACCGCAUACGUCCUACGGGAGAAAGCAGGGGAUCUUCGGACCUUGCGCUAUCGGAUGAGCCUAUGUCGGAUUAGCUAGUUGGUGAGGUAAUGGCUCACCAAGGCGACGAUCCGUAGCUGGUCUGAGAGGAUGAUCAGCCACACUGGGACUGAGACACGGCCCAGACUCCUACGGGAGGCAGCAGUGGGGAAUAUUGGACAAUGGGGGAAACCCUGAUCCAGCCAUGCCGCGUGUGUGAAGAAGGCCUUCGGGUUGUAAAGCACUUUCAGCGAGGAAGAAGGCCUGAGGGUUAAUACCCUUCAGGAAGGACAUCACUCGCAGAGAAGACCG
rnacentral:rRNA from 1 species